CCAGCUCCAAUAGCGUAUACUUAAGUUGUUGCAGUUAAAAAGCUCGUAGUUGAAAUUCGAAUCAGUUACUUGAGGGCUUAGGCACUUAUUUAGCUGGUUCUCCGUCUACAAUUCCUCUUGGGCUUUAGGGUUGCAGAGGUUUGAGUAGACAAUUUACCUUGAAAAAAUUAGAGUGUUCCAGGCAGGUUUUCGCCGGAAUACAUUAGCAUGGAAUAAUGGAAUAGGACUGAGGUCUUUUGUUGGUUUUAGGAUCUUAGUAAUGAUUAAUAGGGACAGAUGGGGGCAUUAGUAUUUAAUUGUCAGAGGUGAAAUUCUUGGAUUUAUUAAAGACUAACUUAUGCGAAAGCAUUUGCCAAGGAUGUUUUCA
rnacentral:rRNA from 1 species